GACGAACGCUGGCGGCGUGCUUAACACAUGCAAGUCGGACGGAAAGGCCCUGCUUUUGUGGGGUGCUCGAGUGGCGAACGGGUGAGUAACACGUGAGUAACCUGCCCUUGACUUUGGGAUAACUUCAGGAAACUGGGGCUAAUACCGGAUAGGAGCUCCUGCUGCAUGGUGGGGGUUGGAAAGUUUCGGCGGUUGGGGAUGGACUCGCGGCUUAUCAGCUUGUUGGUGGGGUAGUGGCUUACCAAGGCUUUGACGGGUAGCCGGCCUGAGAGGGAGACCGGCCACAUUGGGACUGAGAUACGGCCCAGACUCCUACGGGAGGCAGCAGUGGGGAAUAUUGCACAAUGGGCGGAAGCCUGAUGCAGCAACGCCGCGUGCGGGAUGACGGCCUUCGGGUUGUAAACCGCUUUCGCCUGUGACGAAGCGUGAGUGACGGUAAUGGGUAAAGAAGCACCGGCUAACUACGUG
rnacentral:rRNA from 1 species